GACGAACGCUGGCGGCGUGCUUAACACAUGCAAGUCGAACGAUGAAGCCGGAGCUUGCUCUGGUGAAUUAGUGGCGAACGGGUGAGUAACACGUGAGUAACCUGCCCUUGACUCUGGGAUAACUGCUAGAAAUGGUAGCUAAUACCGGAUACGACCCUCGGAGGCAUCUUCAGGGGGUGGAAAGAAUUUCGGUCAAGGAUGGACUCGCGGCCUAUCAGCUAGUUGGUGAGGUAACGGCUCACCAAGGCGACGACGGGUAGCCGGCCUGAGAGGGUGACCGGCCACACUGGGACUGAGAAACGGCCCAGACUCCUACGGGAGGCAGCAGUGGGGAAUAUUGCACAAUGGGCGCAAGCCUGAUGCAGCAACGCCGCGUGAGGGAUGACGGCCUUCGGGUUGUAAACCUCUUUUAGUAGGGAAGAAGCGAAAGUGACGGUACCUGCAGAAAAAGCACCGGCUAACUACGUGCCAGCCGCCGCCGUAAAAC
rnacentral:rRNA from 1 species